AAGGAGUCUAACAUAUUCGCGAGUCUUAGAGUGACAAACUCAGGAGGCGAAAUAAAAGUAAAGCAGGUUAGUUGAACUACUAGGGCCAUCGACUUUUCUGUUUCAUUUGUGAUGGAUUUGAGUAAGAGCACAUCUGUUGGGACCCGAAAGAUGGUGAACUAUGCCUGAAUAGGGCGAAGCCAGAGGAAACUCUGGUGGAGGCUCGUAGCGAUUCUGACGUGCAAAUCGAUCGUCAAAUUUGGGUAUAGAGGCGAAAGACUAAUCGAACCAUCUAGUAGCUGGUUCCCAC
rnacentral:misc_RNA from 1 species